rnacentral:lncRNA from 1 species
AACUAGAAGUGGAUUCAGAAUUCGGUGCACGUGGCCAAGUUCUUUGUAGGAGAUUAAAAAAAAAAAAUCAUUGUAAUAAUUAGGGAAGUUUUUUUAAUAUUUUUGAAAUCAAAAGAAAGAAAACAUCCUCUUCUUUUCUAUAAUGUCAUAUUGAAUAAAAAAAGUUUAAGGAGAAAUAUAAAAUAUGUGACAAGAAAAAAGAAAAAGAAAAAAGAAUCUAAAUAAAUUUACAUUACCCAUUAGUCGGGCAUGUUCGUCCCUCCGCGUGUUGUCAUGUGCCGGGAGAGGACCACGAUCACAAUAUUUAUGUCCAAAGGGCCUGGAAGCCCAGCUAGGUUGGCUGUCAAACUGGAUGAAAACAUUGGAAAGUGGAGGUUCAAAAAGGAAAUGUAGGUUUACAUACGAGACGAGUAGGAAGAUAAGGAGUUGUGCUUUUGGAGACAAGA